rnacentral:rRNA from 1 species
AGGCUAAAACUCAAAGGAAUUGACGGGGGCCCGCACAAGCGGCGGAGCAUGCGGAUUAAUUCGAUGCAACGCGAAGAACCUUACCAAGGCUUGACAUGUGCCAGACCGCCGUGGAAACACGGUUUCCCCUUUGGGGCUGGUUCACAGGUGGUGCAUGGUUGUCGUCAGCUCGUGUCGUGAGAUGUUGGGUUAAGUCCCGCAACGAGCGCAACCCUCGUUCUAUGUUGCCAGCGGGUCAUGCCGGGGACUCAUAGGAGACUGCCGGGGUCAACUCGGAGGAAGGUGGGGACGACGUCAAAUCAUCAUGCCCCUUAUGUCUUGGGCUUCACGCAUGCUACAAUGGCCGGUACAAUGGGUUGCGAUACUGUGAGGUGGAGCUAAUCCCAAAAAGCCGGUCUCAGUUCGGAUUGGGGUCUGCAACUCGACCCCAUGAAGUCGGAGUCGCUAGUAAUCGCAGAUCAGCAACGCUGCGGUGAAUACGUUCCCGGGCCUUGUACACACCGCCCGUCAAGUCACGAAAGUUGGUAACACCCGAAGCCGGUGGCCUAACCCCUUGUGGGAGGGAGCCGUCGAAGGUGGGACCGGCGAUUGGGAC